rnacentral:lncRNA from 1 species
CUCAACCACCAUCACCAUCUCCUCCACCACCCUAUUACUAUAAAUUACCACCAUCUCCAUCGUCAUCACCAUCUUCAUAUUACUACAAUUCUCCACCACCACCAUCUCCAUCACCGCCGCCACCCUAUUACUAUAAGUCUUCUCCUCCGUCGCCUUCUCCUCCACCUCUAUACUAUUACCACUCUCCACCCCCUCCAGUAACGUCUCCUCGUCCUCCUUAUUACUACAGCUCACCUCCUCCACCUAUGAAAUCACCUCCUCCACCAGUAUAUAUUUAUGCAUCUCCGCCACCUCCAA